AUUGUGCCUGAGAUGAUCCCCUCAGCGCUGGCGUUUGAUAACUUGGUGGAUGUAGAUGCUUAGCCAGUCAGUCAUUAGGCUUGUGAAUAUGGAAUCCGGGUGCUCACAAGGACAAGAGGUGUAUGAAAAGAAAAACAUAAGGAAAUCGUGUAAGGAUCGAAAGUU